GAGGACCUCAUCUGUGCCGGAGUCAAUAGAUCACAGCUCGAACAAAGCCUGUCUACUGGCAAUUCCUCUAAAGCCCUGUGCAAUUUUACCAUAAGUGCGCAUGCCUGUUCCUUGGCUACACAUCUCACAUCCAGCAACUUGGUGACACUGAUGAAAUGCUCACUGGAAAGCCAAAGGACAUACCCAGUAGAGGUCUGGAAGCU